rnacentral:sRNA from 2 species
CAUAAAGUGAUCUAGGGUUCCGGCAGUUAUUUGGGCAGUUAUUUGCAAAAAUACUGUGUCUGAGACCGAGAGUUCACGGCUUAGUUUUGAUAAAAACAGAGCUACACGGAGGGAUAAAAGCCCGGGAGGU